CUAGAAGACCAAGACUUAGCCAUACCCUCUUACCAAAGAUAUAUCCAGCAGCAUCUUGCAAGUUGGAAGGCUGUACCCUGAGGGCCAUUAAAAAGUGUGAACCCAGACUGUGAUACCACAACUAUUGACCUGUGCUGAAGAGCAGCAUGAUGAAUCAUAAAGUACCUGAUAAUGGACUGUCUCCAGAUGACGUGUCCAGUAGCACCGAUGGGCAUUGCUUCUGUAGAACACCAGAAAGAAGACUGAGAACUUUCUAACUAAUCAUUGCCACUUCUACUGCACUUAGCUUCUCCAAUAUGGACUACCAUCUAACUACUGACCAGUAGACACAGUCCUACCCAUUAAAGUACUGUGGAAGCUCAAAGCUGGAACAGAUUUGCCUUCAUCUCACUCAGUGAAAAUGCUUUUGAUGUAUUUCGGUCUUUAUUUGCCUUUAAAAUGUCAAGCAAAGCUGUCAACACCUUUUGCUGCUGUCACUGUGCUUGUCCUGUGCCUCUUUGUUGACCAGCCUGUUCUAACAUCCCUCUCUUGUACCUGAUGU